CACGUAGGGCGCGAGCGUUGUCCGGAAUUAUUGGGCGUAAAGCGCGCGUAGGCGGUUACUUAAGUCGGAUGUGAAAGCCCUCGGCUUAACUGAGGAAGUGCACCCGAAACUGAGUAGCUAGAGUACGAAAGAGGGUCGCGGAAUUCCCGGUGUAGAGGUGAAAUUCGUAGAUAUCGGGAGGAACACCGGUGGCGAAGGCGGCGACCUGGGUCGAGACUGACGCUGAGGCGCGAAAGCGUGGGGAGCAAACAGG
rnacentral:rRNA from 1 species